ACUCCUACGGGAGGCAGCAGUGAGGAAUAUUGGACAAUGGGUGGAAGCCUGAUCCAGCCAUCCCGCGUGCAGGAAGACGGCCCUAUGGGUUGUAAACUGCUUUUAUCUGGGGAUAAACCUACUUACGUGUAAGUAGCUGAAGGUACCAGAAGAAUAAGCACCGGCUAACUCCGUGCCAGCAGCCGCGGUAAUACGGAGGGUGCAAGCGUUAUCCGGAUUUAUUGGGUUUAAAGGGUCCGUAGGCGGACUGAUAAGUCAGUGGUGAAAUCCGACAGCUUAACUGUCGAACUGCCAUUGAUACUGUUAGUCUUGAGUAAGGUUGAAGUGGCUGGAAUAAGUAGUGUAGCGGUGAAAUGCAUAGAUAUUACUUAGAACACCAAUUGCGAAGGCAGGUCACUAAGUCUUAACUGACGCUGAUGGACGAGAGCGUGGGGAGCGAACAGGAUUAGAAACCCCGGUAGUCCC
rnacentral:rRNA from 1 species